AGCCAUGCAUGUCUAAGUACAUGCCUUUACAAGGCGAAACCGCGAAUGGCUCAUUAAAUCAGUUAUGGUUCCUUGGAUCGUACCUUACUACUUGGAUAACUGUGGUAAUUCUAGAGCUAAUACAUGCAGCAGAGCUCCGACCUUCGGGAACGAGCGCUUUUAUUAGACCAAAACCGAUCGGACCUCGUGUCCGUAUCUUGUGGUGACUCUGAAUAACUUUGGGCUGAUCGCACGGGCCUGUCCCGGCGACGUAUCUUUCAAGUGUCUGCCUUAUCAACUUUCGAUGGUAGGUUACGCGCCUACCAUGGUCGUAACGGGUGACGGGGAAUCAGGGUUCGAUUCCGGAGAGGGAGCCUGAGAAACGGCUACCACAUCCAAGGAAGGCAGCAGGCGCGCAAAUUACCCACUCCCAGCUCGGGGAGGUAGUGACGAAAAAUAACAAUACGGGACUCUUAUGAGACCCCGUAAUUGGAAUGAGUACACUCUAAAACCUUUAACGAGGAUCCAUUCGAGGGCAAGUCUGGUGCCAGCAGCCGCGGUAACCCCAGCUCGAAUAGCGUAUAUUAAAGUUGUUGCGGUUAAAAAGCUCGUAGUUGGAUCUCAGUUCCAGACGGGUGGUCCGCCUACCGGUGGUCACUGCCCGUUCUGAACAGCCAGCCGGUUUCUCUUGAUGAUCUUGAUCGGUUGUCUUGGGUGACCGGCAAGUUUACUUUGAAAAAAUUAGAGUGCUCAAAGCAGGCGUGACGCCUGAAUAAUGGUGCAUGGAAUAAUGGAAUAGGACCUCGGUUCUAUUUUGUUGGUUUUCUGAACACGAGGUAAUGAUUAAGAGGGACAGACGGGGGCAUUCGUAUUGCGACGCUAGAGGUGGAACGAAAGUUAGAGGUUCGAAGGCGAUCAGAUACCGCCCUAGUUCUAACCAUAAACGAUGCCAGCUAGCGAUCCGGGUGUGUUCCUCAAAUGACACCCCGGGCAGCUUCCGGGAAACCAAAGCCUUUGGGUUCCGGGGGGAGUAUGGUUGCAAAGCUGAAACUUAAAGGAAUAGACGGAAGGGCACCACCAGGAAUGGAGCCUGCGGCUUAAUUUGACUCAACACGGGAAAACUUACCCGGCCCGGACACAGGAAGGAUUGACAGAUUAAGAGCUCUUUCUUGAUUCUGUGGGUGGUGGUGCAUGGCCGCUCUUAGUUCGUGGAGCGAUUUGUCUGGUUAAUUCCGAUAACGAACGAGACUCUAGCCUAUUAAAUAGGCGUUCCGAUCACUUCUGUCGGACGUUCUUCUUAGAGGGAUAAACGGCGUUUAGCCGCACGAGACAGAGCAAUAGCAGGUCUGUGAUGCCCUUAGAUGUCCGGGGCCGCACGCGCGCUACAUUGAAGGAAUCAGCGUGUGCUCUCCCUGUCCGAUAGGACUGGGUAACCCGUUGAAACUCUUUCGUGCUGGGGAUAGAAAUGCAACUGUUUUUCUUGAACGAGGAAUUCCCAGUAAGCGCGAGUCAUUAGCUCGUGUUGACUACGUCCCUGGCCUUUGUACUCACCGCCCGUCGCUAUUACCGAUAGAACGAUUUAGUGAGGUCUUCGGACUGGCGCUCGGAGCGGCCUUCGGGUCACGCGCCGCGGUGCCGGAAAGAUGACCGAACUUGACCGUUUAGA
rnacentral:rRNA from 1 species